rnacentral:rRNA from 1 species
GACGGAGCGCGCCAGCGUUACCCGGAUUUACUGGGCGUAAAGGGCGUGUAGGCGGCCUGGGGCGUCCCAUGUGAAAGGCCACGGCGCAACCGUGGAGGAGCGUGGGAUACGCUCAGGCUAGACGGUGGGAGAGGGUGGUGGAAUUCCCGGAGUAGCGGUGAAAUGCGCAGAUACCGGGAGGAACGCGGAUGGCGUAGGCAGCCACCUGGCUCACUUGUGACGCUGGGGCGGGAAAGCGUGGGGAGCAAACGGG